AAGUCGUAACAAGGUUUCCGUAGGUGAACCUGCGGAAGGAUCAUUCACAAUAUAUGACAAUACAAUUAACGUUGUAUUGUUGUUCAUUUUUUCACCAAAUCAUAAACAAACCGCGCUAUGUACAACCCUUUAUUUUAAACAACCAAUGCCAAUUUCGGUUGGCGCCUUUAUCGAGCUCGUUCUAUACUUUAAAAGGUUUGAAUGUCAAUGUGAUAGUUAAGUCCUGUGUAUGGUGGAUUCCAUACGGGCGUGUGUAGAAAUACGUAAUAUAAUACAACUCUUUGCAAUGGAUAUCUUGGUUCUC
rnacentral:misc_RNA from 1 species